AUGUCAUUCUUACAGAAGUCAAGUUCCAAAGGAAAUGAGCAGCUUACAGGCCGGACAGUGAAGGUUCACUGCUCCUACGGGGCUUUCUACAAGGAUUUAUCAGAGAUGUUCAUGAAGACUUCCUCACCGCUGUUUUUAAAAAUAAUUGGCAACCAGGGCAUCAAUUUCCACUUAAUGAAGUUAGAGUGCCACCAGCACCUGAUAUAAAGAGAGAAAUUAGUGAAGGACAUGAAGUAGAGGCAUAUUCUAGAGCAAAUGACCAAGAACCAUGUGGAUGGUGGUUGGCCAAAGUUCGCGUGAUGUAAGGAGAGUUUCAUGUGAUUGAGUGUGCUGCUUGUGAUGCCACUUACAAUGAAAUAGUAACAUUUGAAAGACUUCGGCCUGCCAAUCAAAAUAAAACUGUCAAAAAAAAUACUUUCUUUAAAUGCACGGUGGAUGUUCCUGAGGAUUUGAGAGAGGCGUGUGCUGAUGAAAACGGACAUAAAGAUCUUAAGAAAGCAGUAGGAGCAUGCAGAACUUUUUAGCACCCAGAGACUACACAGCUAGUGAUACUGUCUGCCAGUGAAGCAACUGUGAAGAGAGUAAAUAUUUUAAGUGACAUGCAUUUGCGAAGUAUUCGUGCAAAACUGAGGCUCAUGUCCAGAAAUGAAGAAGCCACUAAACAUUUAGAAUGCGCAAAACAGCUUGCAGCGGCUUGUCAUAAGGAGUUUGUUGUGAGAGAAGAUUUAAUGGGCCUGGCAAUAGGAACACAUGGUAGUAACAUACGGAAAGCUAGGAAGUUUCCUGGUGUUACUGCCAUUGAGCUAGAUGAAGAUACUGGAACCUUUAGAGUCUAUGGAGAGAGUGCUGAUGCUGUGAAAAAAGUUAGAGGUUUCUUGGAAUUUGUGGAGGACUUUAUUCAGGUUCCUAGAAAUCUUGUUGGAAAAGUAAUUGGGAAAAAUGGCAGUUAUUCAAGAAAUUAUGGACAAAUCUGGUGUGGUUCGGGUGAGAAGUGAAGGCGACAAUGAAAACAAACUACCUGGAGGAGAUGGGAUGGUUCCAUUUGUGUUUGUUGGCACUAAAGAGAGCAUCGGAAAUGUGCCGGUUCUUUUAGAGUAUCAUGUUGCAUGUCUAAAGGAAGUAGAGCAGUUAAGAAUGGAACGCCUACAGAUUGACGAACAGCUGCGUCAGAUUGGUUCUAGGUCUUACGGUGGAAGAGGCAGAGGUUGUUGGGGCCCUAAUUACACCUCCUGUUAUGGUACAAAUUCUGAGCUGUCUAACCCCUCUGAAACAGAAUCUGAACGUAAAGACGAGCUGAGUGAUUGGUCAUUGGCAGGAGAAUAUGAUGGAGAGAACCGACAUCAGCGUGACAGCAGAAGACGCCCAGGAGGAAGAGGCAGAAAUGUUUCAGGGGGUCGAGGUCGUGGUGGACCACAUGGUGACAAAUCCUCCAUCAGUUAUGUGCGCAAAGAUGCAGACAGCAAUCCAUACAGCUUAGUUGAUAAUACGGAAUCAGAUCCGACUGCAGACACUGAUGCCAGCGAAUCUCCUCACAGUACUGACCGUCGUAGGGGGUCUCAUAGACGAAGGCCUGAUGAAGAUGCUGUUCUGAUGGAUGGGAUGACUGAAUCUGAUACAGCUUCAGGUACGGAAAAUGGGCUAGUCUCAGAGCAGACAAAGAAAUCUCCCAAGGAAACUUUGGCUAAAAAUAAGAAAGAAAUGGCAAAAGAUGUGAUUGACGAGCACGGUCCUUCAGAAAAAGGCAAUAAAUGGCCCAACUAGUGCUUCUGCAUGAAAUUCCUAAGCUACAGCAUACUCCCGGAGAAGAAAAGAUUAAUUCCUUAAAAGAAGAAAACACUCAAGAAGCAGCAGCCCUGAAUGGUGUUUCCUAAACUGAAGAAGUUCCUAGUUUACAGUUCUUUUCCGUUACAUUUACAAUAGUGCUUGUACGGGCUUGCCAAAG